rnacentral:rRNA from 1 species
UACGUAGAUGGCAAGCGUUGUCCGGAUUUACUGGGCGUAAAGGGAGCGUAGGCGGACUUUUAAGUGAGAUGUGAAAUACUCGGGCUCAACUUGAGUGCUGCAUUUCAAACUGGAAGUCUAGAGUGCAGGAGAGGAGAAUGGAAUUCCUAGUGUAGCGGUGAAAUGCGUAGAGAUUAGGAAGAACACCAGUGGCGAAGGCGAUUCUCUGGACUGUAACUGACGCUGAGGCUCGAAAGCGUGGGGAGCAAACAGG